UACGUAGGGGGCAAGCGUUGUCCGGAAUCAUUGGGCGUAAAGCGCGUGUAGGCGGCUCGAUAAGUCUGCUGUGAAAGUCCAGGGCUCAACCCUGGGAUGCCGGUGGAUACUGUCGAGCUCGAGUCCGGAAGAGGCGAGUGGAAUUCCUGGUGUAGCGGUGAAAUGCGCAGAUAUCAGGAAGAACACCCGUGGCGAAGGCGGCUCUCUGGGACGGUACUGACGCUGAGACGCGAAAGCGUGGGGAGCGAACAGG
rnacentral:rRNA from 1 species